UGGUGGGGUGAUGGCCUACCAAGGCGUCGACGGGUAGCCGGCCUGAGAGGGCGACCGGCCACACUGGGACUGAGACACGGCCCAGACUCCUACGGGAGGCAGCAGUGGGGAAUAUUGCACAAUGGGCGCAAGCCUGAUGCAGCGACGCCGCGUGAGGGAUGACGGCCUUCGGGUUGUAAACCUCUUUCAGCAGGGAAGAAGCGCAAGUGACGGUACCUGCAGAAGAAGCGCCGGCUAACUACGUGCCAGCAGCCGCGGUAAUACGUAGGGCGCAAGCGUUGUCCGGAAUUAUUGGGCGUAAAGAGCUCGUAGGCGGUCUGUCGCGUCUGGUGUGAAAUCCCGAGGCUCAACCUCGGGCUUGCAUCGGGUACGGGCAGACUAGAGUGCGGUAGGGGAGACUGGAAUUCCUGGUGUAGCGGUGGAAUGCGCAGAUAUCAGGAGGAACACCGAUGGCGAAGGCAGGUCUCUGGGCCGCAACUGACGCUGAGGAGCGAAAGCAUGGGGAGCGAACAGGAUUAGAU
rnacentral:rRNA from 1 species